CACUGGUGAUAGCAAUAAUCUGCUUGGUUAUUUCUCUAGUUCUUAAUGUUAUUUUCAUCUGUUGCCGAACUCCAGGAGCAGCAUGUGAACAAAUUAAAAAAAACAGCUCGUCACAAGCCAGGCAAGAUGACUUGAGCCAAGCAGUGGAUGACAGUAUUGAAGGUGAACUGAACUAUGCUGCACUGCAAUUCUCUGGAAGGAAAACGACAAGAGGAAAGAAGAAGAAGGGUGAACUGGAAACUGAAGAAAGUGUGUACUCUCAAGUAAAAUGCAGAAUGUGAAAGUGUAUCUGUGUCGGUUGGGUUAUAGUACUGAUCUUUUAUAUUGAAAAUAAACAAAUACAAAGAAUUUUUUACUAAUUUUACCAAAAACAUGAUGCUUUACAUUCAAUGUUCCUAUUGUGUUUUCCUGUUCUUGUUUUCCAGGUUAUUUGUUUAUAAUAUGAUGAAUCAAUUCAAAUGAAUAGUAUUACAUUGUAUUACAUACAGAGUAUACAUAGUAUUACAGUAGUGCAAUAUUAUCAUGAUGGUUUCAUCACAUUGAUUCAGUGAUUUCAGCCUAAUAGUUCGAUCAGUCCCCCCACCUCAACAUUCAAAUGCAUAUAACAAAAGAGCUGGGAUAAGGUUUCGUUCACACUUUACUCUUAUCAACAUUUAUUUAGGCUCACAAUUUUUAUUUCAGUUUUUAGCAAUUUAACUUCCACAAAAAGGUGGAUUGUAUAGUCCUUGUUAGGUUGCAUUAUCUGAUCCAACUCUUUGUACAGGUGUAAUCCUGGAUAUGUUGAACAUUCUUUGCAGUUCACCCUUCUAUUGGUGUUGAUUGAGAUAGAAAAUUUACAUACUGAGUUGGCAGAGUAUUAUUCUAACUUGGGACUGGCUGCAGCUCCGGAAGCAAAGCAGGACAUCUACUAAUCUGCAUGUCAAAUAUCCUUGGGCAAGGUGCUAACCCCAAGUUGUUCUCCGAUCCAUCCAUUAGAGUAUGAAUGGGUGAAUAAAAAUGUUGUAUAAUUGUUUUUGAGUGCUCCAGGACAGUAGAAAAGCGCUAUAUACGAAUCAGCCUAUUUGCCAUCUAACUUCUCCCUGAGCACAAUCAUGAGGUUGAGAUGUUUGAUUCUGAAUAAAUGAACCCAGUCUGUUAAAUGAUUUGCCAUAGGAUUUGCUCCAUAAAAUUAACAUUAGAUAUUUCUUGUACUACAUACACUAAAUUGCCAAUAGCAUUCACUUUUCUGCUUUCACACAGAUAUGAAGUGACAUGUCAUUUUUAAUCUACAGGGUUCUUAGUACUGACUUUCUAAAGCUCUGCAUCGUGAUGCUCCUGCCUACAUCUCUGAUCUUUUAGAUCCCCACGCUCCCUCUCGCAGCCUGAGAUCAUCUAAUCAAAGGCUUUUGGUAGUACCAUAAACACGUUUUAAGACCAGAGCAGAUGGAUCUUUUACAGGGUGGCCCCCAGGUUGUGGAAUGCUUUGCCUCCGUCUUUACGUU